rnacentral:rRNA from 1 species
UACAGAGGGUGCAAGCGUUAAUCGGAAUUACUGGGCGUAAAGCGUGCGUAGACGGUUAUUUAAGUCAGGUGUGAAAGCCCCGGGCUCAACCUGGGAAUUGCAUUUGAGACUGAAUAGCUAGGGUGCGGAAGAGGGAAGCGGAAUUUCCGGUGUAGCGGUGAAAUGCGUAGAUAUCGGAAGGAACACCAGUGGCGAAAGCGGCUUCCUGGUCCAGCACCGACGUUCAGGCACGAAAGCGUGGGGAGCAACAGG